GCGCUCGCUUCAGGAGCACAUAUACUAAAAUUGGAACAAUACAGAGAACAUGGCCCCUGCGCAACGAUGACAUGCAAAUUCCUGAAGCAUUCCAUAUUUUA
rnacentral:snRNA from 1 species